AUUGCAAAUGACUAUUUGGGUUUAAACAUUUAGCCAAAUAUAAUUCAUAUGAUAAAAACAUAUACUAUGUUAAAUGUAUAAAAAUAUAUAACAUUUAUCCAAAUAUCAUUCACAUAAUAAAAAUAUACAUUUAUCCAACCACCUUCAUCAGCCCUGAGACAAGGUCCUCCACUGGGGCCUAGGAAGUCAAGCUGCUAUUCGGAAUUCUUCAACCAAUGAACCUGCUUCCACAUUUGGACCUCACAAUAUGAUUUAUCGCAAAUGUAACCUGGUAUACAGUUGACAGUGGCAUUAUCUUGCCUUCUCAUUCCACUUUGCAGCAAAAUGAAUAAUAACUUGCAAGAAUUUCUAAUAAACUUAAUAAAAUGUACAAAACAACAAAGAAGAUCAAUUCAUCUAGUAUUCCACAUUUGAGUAUGGGAUUCUGAUUGUCCCCUUGGACAAAAUGGAAGGCAGACCAACAUUCUUUGCCUUGAAUGCAGUUUCUGCGGUCUCUAUCGCCCUGGAAGCUUGGAGAGCCAUUUCAGCAUGAAGUUGGAGGCAUGACAUAGCCAUCAUAUAACACUCUUUAUCUACGUCGGAUUCAACUAUGUCAAGGGCCCAGAAGCGAAUCCAUUCAAGCCCUUUAGAAACUUCAAGGUUUCCUUCUGUUAUGGCAGAUGCAACAUAGGAUGGAUGAAGUGACACCAAUAUGCUGGAAGCGGCAAAAAGGACAGCUUUUCUGACAUAUACUUCUUUAUGAUGGCAUAUCUCCCUGGAUCUUAACAUGUCUAGAAGAGGCGGAGCCAAUGCAGAUGCUUCUGGAUGCAUGGAAGCACAUCUCAUACAAGUACCAAGCAUGUAGAUGAGUUUCCCUAGGACAAUAAAAUCUCUACCAAGCAAAUCAACACCAUGUCGUUUCUUAUCAAAACCCUGCAUGGCAGGAAGCAUAAAUGCUGCUGCAUAAAUAGGAAACUUAUUUUGGGUCCAUUCUAACUGGUUUUCCUGCAUAUUUGGUGUUCUAAGGCUCCAACGACGAGUCUUCCCUUUUCUGAUCUGACCAGGUUUAGGGGGAAGUUCUCUCUCAUAACGAUUUGAAUAGUUUAAUAGAGUUCCAGUUUCUGAUACCUCUUUCCAAGCACCAGCUCCGGGAGGUCCUGAGCUACUAGGCAAGAACCAGGGUUGAUUCUCUGAUAUAGUUGAUAUGAGGACCGUUGAUUGAUGUUUAGGUUUCAUACUCUUCGCAUUAGCAAGCUCCUGAGCAGCUUCAGUCAUUAUGUCCAGAAUCAUUAUGCGUUGGCUGACAUCAACAUUUGGGGAAUAUAAGAGUUUGUUUAGAGUAUCUAAAGAUUGGAAAGGACAUGUGACAAGCAAGGCAAUCAAUGCUCUUUGCCUCUUUUCUUCAACUGAUUCUUCCUCACCUUCUACAGCCAAAUCAGAGCAACGAACCUGUACAAGGGUUCUAGCAAGAUCACCUACCACAUAAGUAAGCUCAUCAGGUGAAGCUCGCACAAGCUUUUCAGCAACAUCAAGAGCCCUCUCUACCCCGUCAGCAUCAUCAGAUUUCCGCAGGGCUCCAACCACAUCAACCAACUGUGUAAAUUUUUUUUGCAGAUCUGUAUCAUCAUCCGUCAAGUCAUAUGGCUGUAAAGAUGAAUCACUUGAGGAAUCAGAAUUCUCACAUGCUUCAUCAUCCUCGUCUCUAUCAGAGGCUGAUCCAUAAUUUAGGGUAGCCGGAUCAAUAAUCUCAUCCGGGUCAACCAACUUAAAUUGAGAAGAUUUCUUGUUUUCACCCUUAUUGUUCCUGCCUAUUCCAUUAUUUCUUGAAUAGUUCAAGUCCUUUUCUGGCUCUGAGAUGGUCAACGUUUUUGCUUCGUCAUUCUCAUUUGAGGAGGGCAGAGCCCUAUUCUCAGGUUUAGUCAAUCCAAACUCCCAGUCAAUGGUCUCAUCAAUGCAACUAUCAUCAAGGUAUAGAGGAUUUUUGGGGUCAAUCACUUUAGAGAACACUAAAGCAAUAUUGCUAGCCAUUUUCCGAAUCAAAUGAGUAGGGCUCUCCAGCCUACAGCUAACUCCUUGAAGAAUUGAGUGCAUCACAUCCUUAGACUUAUCCAGUUCUUCUUUUGACAUCAGCUCCAUACAAAGACCUAUAGCAGCAGUUACAU
rnacentral:misc_RNA from 1 species